rnacentral:rRNA from 1 species
GUUGAACGCUGGCGGCAUGCCUUACACAUGCAAGUCGAACGGCAGCGGACCUUCGGGUGCCGGCGAGUGGCGAACGGGUGAGUAAUAUAUCGGAACGUACCUUUCAGUGGGGGAUAACGUAGCGAAAGUUACGCUAAUACCGCAUAUUCUGUGAGCAGGAAAACAGGGGAUCGCAAGACCUUGCGCUGAUUGAGCGGCCGAUAUCAGAUUAGCUAGUUGGUGAGGUAAAGGCUCACCAAGGCGACGAUCUGUAGCGGGUCUGAGAGGAUGAUCCGCCACACUGGAACUGAGACACGGUCCAGACUCCUACGGGAGGCAGCAGUGGGGAAUUUUGGACAAUGGGCGCAAGCCUGAUCCAGCCAUGCCGCGUGAGUGAAGAAGGCC